CCUCAAACAACCUCAAAUCAACUCCAGAUCUGAGAGGGACUUAUACCAACCUCUUCUCAAGAGAUUUCAGGUCUUGGACCUGGUGUUUGGGUGCCUGCAAGAGGGAGAGAGCAGAUCUGGUAGGCGGCUGCAAGGGGGAAGGGGCUAGCGCCUCCCCUUCUUCUCUUUCCUUUUAUGGACUGGCGGCAAGAAACCCUAGGGUUUCUUGCUCCUGGAGCAUGGAGAAUUGCUGGAGAG
rnacentral:lncRNA from 1 species